CACCGGCGGCUCGAGUGGUGGCCACUUUUAUUGGGUCUAAAGCGUCCGUAGCCGGCUUGGCAAGUCCCCUGGGAAAUCUGGCGGCUUAACCGUCAGGCGUCCAGAGGAUACUGCCAGGCUUGGGACCGGGAGAGGUGAGAGGUACCUCAGGGGUAGGGGUGAAAUCUUGUGAUCCCUGAGGGACCACCAGUGGCGAAGGCGUCUCACUAGAACGGGUCCGACGGCAAGGGACGAAAGCUAGGGGCACGAACCGG
rnacentral:rRNA from 1 species